GCUUGUGCAAAAGUAUUGGUUAAUUUACAUACAACCUUAUUCUCUUUCCUCAUUUAUUACAUGACACAACAUCAAAAAUCUGAUGUGUCAAAAUUACCAACAACUAUUUUACAAUCAUUAAAGAUGCCCUUACCGGGCUUACCGACAUGUAGAUUGUAGAACGCGGUGGUGCGAUUAAUGGAUCUCCCAAACCGGCUCACCUUCCUUCCUUGGCGCCAACGAAACGAAGACGCUGAACCGACAUCCCUCUGCCUCUGCGCAUCUAUAAAUUCGGCCCGGGGCUCCCCAUCAUCUGUUUUCCCUUCGCCUCCUUCUUCCUGCUCCGUUCCGCUCCGCCGUCCACUUUCAUCUCAGGGAUCUUGGGCAGGACAGGAGCCGGAACCGCCGCCACCGCCGCCGCAGUUCGUACCUACGUACGUGCCGGAUGCCUGUAAUAACUGGUUUCUGUCCCGUACGUUUCUGCUCUGUUUCUUGCUUCCUUGCAUGAUCGUGAUGCAGAGGAGGAGCCAGGAACCGUGAAACGGCGCCGUAAAUCAUGCUUGGCCACCGCCGCCUCUGAUCGGACGGACAGAGAGAGGCACCGCUGCCGCCGGAGAAGAAGAAGGAGGAGGCCGGACCUAGGGCACCGCGGCAGAUUCAAAGUCGAUCCAAACGAAAUUCCACUGUUAACCAAACUAAAAAGAAUCUGUUUAACUUGCCGGUGCAUGGUUUACAUCUUCAGGGUUUUGCUGGUAGUACUGUUUAACUUCAGGGUUCACUAGGCCGAGGAAGAUUUACAUCUUUCGAUGUUCCAAUGGACGAACAUCACAAUCAGUUCCUGCUGCUGCUGCCAGAUUGUGAGCUGUGGCUAGAUAGAUUGCAGUCCUGUCCUGUGUUUUUCGGUGCAGGCAUGCAUCCAUGUCACUGCUAACAUAAUUCACAGCUUGGACGGAACGGGAUCAUGAUAAUGACCAGGCUUCAAAACUUGCCUGAUUUGGUCUAUGCAAAUGCAGCUCCGUUUAAUUACAACGCGUAUGCUUUGUUUUGCAUCCAUCAAAACAACAAUCUUCACCACAUUCGCAGUGCACAUGCAGGCCUGAACAUCGCACUCCAAGAAUCAUUCAGAGUUGCAUCCAAUCCAACACACUGGCAAUAGGAUUUCAAGAUGAGGAGGAGCAGAGGGCCUCUUCUUCUUGCUGCCAUGGCGUUGGUGAUCCUAUCGCCGUCGCUGUGCCCCGCAGCCACUGCAUGGGGCAUCUUCUCCUCGCCUAAACCCACGAGCCAGUCCG
rnacentral:lncRNA from 1 species